rnacentral:rRNA from 1 species
GACGAACGCUGGCGGCGUGCUUAACACAUGCAAGUCGAACGGAAAGGCCCUGCUUUUGUGGGGUGCUCGAGUGGCGAACGGGUGAGUAACACGUGAGUAACCUGCCCUUGACUUUGGGAUAACUUCAGGAAACUGGGGCUAAUACCGGAUAGGAGCUCCUGCUGCAUGGUGGGGGUUGGAAAGUUUCGGCGGUUGGGGAUGGACUCGCGGCUUAUCAGCUUGUUGGUGGGGUAGUGGCUUACCAAGGCUUUGACGGGUAGCCGGCCUGAGAGGGUGACCGGCCACAUUGGGACUGAGAUACGGCCCAGACGCCUACGGGAGGCAACAGGGGGGAAUAUUGCACAAUGGGCGGAAGCCUGAUGCAGCAACGCCGCGUGCGGGAGGACGGCCUUCGGGUUGUAAACCGCUUUCGCCUGUGACGAAGCGUGAGUGACGGUAAUGGGUAAAGAAGCACCGGCUAACUACGU